rnacentral:sRNA from 1 species
AAAAGAAAACAAACAACAAAACCAACAAAACUUUGAAGCUUUCUAGAAAGCGUUUCUCAGAUGAAGAAACAAACAGAUCUUUUGAUUUGAACCGGGAAGCGAUUCUUCAGAGCAAGGAAGGAAAUCAAAGGCUUAAAUUCUACCACGAAAUUCAAAAGUGGUCCUUUCAGGAGGAACCCGACUUAGUUCCUCCACUCACCCAACUCGUUCUGGAGAGAGGAAAUUAGUUUACUGCCAUAUCGAAAUAAAGAAGCCAGGAGGCUGCGUUCCAGAAAAUCACGUGGCGCCUCCCUCCCCCACCUCCCUCACAGCUCUCCCAGCCGUCCCCUCCCUCCACACGGUUUGCUCGCUCGCCGCGCUGCGGCUGCGCGUUGCAGCGUGACAGCCUUGCACACUCUUGGGUGUGGGACCAAAAAAAGUGCAGAAAACCUGCUAAGAACCGAACAGCCAACAUCUUAGAGGAGGACGGUGCCAUCCUAGAAGCAGACGAGCCUUGGAAACCCAUGCCCAGCUUCCGCAGCUUUGAAACACUGACUGCGUCUUCUUCACUCAACACCUGACUCCUCGGUUCUGCAAUUAAGGGCGUUAAAUCCCGAAGAAGCCAGGCAACCCCUGUAAUCAUGACCCGUGUCUGCCCAAGGCUGCCUUUGGCCUGACAUCCUCCCCCGGUACUCUCAGGGGGAGAAAAGUUGCCUUUUGGGGGGGGGGAUGUUCACUGCUCUGAGAAUUAUAUGUUUUGGGGAGCACUCACUCCCCUUUAGUGUGACUUUAUAGAGCCAAGGAACUCUCUGGUGGACUUCGCCCUGUGUAGUGAAGCCUCUGGGGAAGUUGAUGGAGUUAUGAUUUAUCUUUUGGCAAGGGACACUGGGAAACAGCUAGAGCAAAGGUCACAGGGACCAGCUCCGGUUUUAAAUUCAGCCUCGGGAGGGGUAGUUCCAAAGGGAGGGUUCGUACCCGAAGCUUUCUGGGAGAACGUUACGUUUUUGUAAUGUUAGGAAUCUAGAAGUGAUUGGUCAUCUACAGUGUCAUCUGGAUGCCUCUAGUGCAAAAAUGUUUUAAAACAUAACCUGGUUAAACCGGGAGGGGGGUCCUUUCCUUUGCCAAAAGCAAACAUUCACUGAAUCACACACACACACACACACACACACACACACACACACACUCCCAGUGCUGAGGCAGAAAUAUUGACAGUUAAGAGGCUACCCUGAGUAACAAAGAUAGACCCUGAUUCAAAGCAAAACUAAAGCGACAACAGCUAUGAAAACAUAGUUUGGGGGCUCAGAAUGUAGCUCUGGCGGGGGACACUUGCCUAGCAUGCGUAAAACACGGGGUCCCAUCCCAACACUGUGAAAAAUCUGAAAAUUGAAUAGACAAGGAAAGAAUACGAGGUUUAAGAAUAAUCCUAAUUUUAAAAUAAGUUAGGGGGUUGGGGAUUUAGCUCAGUGGUAGAGCGCUUGCCUAGCAAGCGCAAGGCCCUGGGUUCUGUCCCCAGCUCCAAAAAAA